CAGAGAAGCAGCAGAGCGUGCUGAAGACAGAAGUCACUGCAACCAUACCAAGUGGAAUUUGUCACAAACACCAACCUGGAGUUCAGCAGGGGAUAUCUUGCAUUUUUUUGAGAAACCAGAGCCAAAAUCUUCUGCACUGAUAUUUCAGAGGGAACAGGUCCAGAAUGAGGCUGUGAGCACAGACACCUGUCUCAGCUGAUGAAACAUUUGAUAAACAGAUCUGACUGUUAUGAAUAAAACAGAACAAAGCUUCACGAAACUUACUGGAUGGUGAGGUCGUAAAUGAAAAGUAUGAGGUGAG